UGCUGGAGGUAUCAGAAGUGCGAAUGCUGACAUAAGUAACGAUAAAGCGGGUGAAAAGCCCGCUCGCCGGAAGACCAAGGGUUCCUGUCCAACGUUAAUCGGGGCAGGGUGAGUCGACCCCUAAGGCGAGGCCGAAAGGCGUAGUCGAUGGGAAACGGGUUAAUAUUCCCGUACUUGGUGUUACUGCGAAGGGGGGACGGAGAAGGCUAUGUUGGCCGGGCGACGGUUGUCCCGGUUUAAGCGUGUAGGUGUGUGUUCCAGGUAAAUCCGGUUCACUUUAACACUGAGGCGUGACGACGAGGCACUACGGUGCUGAAGCAACAAAUGCCCUGCUUCCAGGAAAAGCCUCUAAGCAUCAGGUAACACGAAAUCGUACCCCAAACCGACACAGGUGGUCAGGUAGAGAAUACCAAGGCGCUUGAGAGAACUCGGGUGAAGGAACUAGGCAAAAUGGUGCCGUAACUUCGGGAGAAGGCACGCUGACACGUAGGUGAAGUGAUUUACUCAUGGAGCUGAAGUCAGUCGAAGAUACCAGCUGGCUGCAACUGUUUAUUAAAAACACAGCACUGUGCAAACACGAAAGUGGACGUAUACGGUGUGACGCCUGCCCGGUGCCGGAAGGUUAAUUGAUGGGGUCAGCGCAAGCGAAGCUCCUGAUCGAAGCCCCGGUAAACGGCGGCCGUAACUAUAACGGUCCUAAGGUAGCGAAAUUCCUUGUCGGGUAAGUUCCGACCUGCACGAAUGGCGUAAUGAUGGCCAGGCUGUCUCCACCCGAGACUCAGUGAAAUUGAACUCGCUGUGAAGAUGCAGUGUACCCGCGGCAAGACGGAAAGACCCCGUGAACCUUUACUAUAGCUUGACACUGAACAUUGAGCCUUGAUGUGUAGGAUAGGUGGGAGGCUUUGAAGUGUGGACGCCAGUCUGCAUGGAGCCGACCUUGAAAUACCACCCUUUAAUGUUUGAUGUUCUAACGUGGACCCGUAAUCCGGGUUGCGGACAGUGUCUGGUGGGUAGUUUGACUGGGGCGGUCUCCUCCUAAAGAGUAACGGAGGAGCACGAAGGUUGGCUAAUCCUGGUCGGACAUCAGGAGGUUAGUGCAAUGGCAUAAGCCAGCUUGACUGCGAGCGUGACGGCGCGAGCAGGUGCGAAAGCAGGUCAUAGUGAUCCGGUGGUUCUGAAUGGAAGGGCCAUCGCUCAACGGAUAAAAGGUACUCCGGGGAUAACAGGCUGAUACCGCCCAAGAGUUCAUAUCGACGGCGGUGUUUGGCACCUCGAUGUCGGCUCAUCACAUCCUGGGGCUGAAGUAGGUCCCAAGGGUAUGGCUGUUCGCCAUUUAAAGUGGUACGCGAGCUGGGUUUAGAACGUCGUGAGACAGUUCGGUCCCUAUCUGCCGUGGGCGCUGGAGAACUGAGGGGGGCUGCUCCUAGUACGAGAGGACCGGAGUGGACGCAUCACUGGUGUUCGGGUUGUCAUGCCAAUGGCACUGCCCGGUAGCUAAAUGCGGAAGAGAUAAGUGCUGAAAGCAUCUAAGCACGAAACUUGCCCCGAGAUGAGUUCUCCCUGAGACUUAGAGUCUCCUGAAGGAACGUUGAAGACGACGACGUUGAUAGGCCGGGUGUGUAAGCGCAG
rnacentral:rRNA from 1 species